rnacentral:misc_RNA from 1 species
UCGAUUCUAUAGUGGCAAGUGUCGGAAGCGCUGUGCUGGCUCGCAAGGGCAUGUGCACGCGCAUCUGGCCUUGUCAAAAAAACCUCAUUCACACCUUGUGCACUUAUUGUAGGUUCUGCAAUGGACCUAUGUCUUUCGAUGCGCUCCAUAGUAUGUCUAUAGAAUGUUAUUUGGGAUGGCACAAUGCUAUA